rnacentral:rRNA from 1 species
UACAGAGGUCUCAAGCGUUGUUCGGAUUCACUGGGCGUAAAGGGUGCGUAGGUGGCCAGGUAAGUUCGGUGUGAAAGCUCGGAGCUCAACUCCGAAAUGUCAUUGAAUACUAUCUGGCUGGAGGGUCGGAGGGGAGACUGGAAUUCUCGGUGUAGCAGUGAAAUGCGUAGAUAUCGAGAGGAACACCAGUGGCGAAGGCGAGUCUCUGGACGACUCCUGACACUGAGGCACGAAAGCUAGGGGAGCAAACAGG